GUGGGGAAUAUUGCACAAUGGGCGAAAGCCUGAUGCAGCAACGCCGCGUGAGGGACGACGGCCUUCGGGUUGUAAACCUCUUUUAGUAGGGAAGAAGCGAAAGUGACGGUACCUGCAGAAAAAGCACCGGCUAACUACGUGCCAGCAGCCGCGGUAAUACGUAGGGUGCAAGCGUUAUCCGGAAUUAUUGGGCGUAAAGAGCUCGUAGGCGGUCUGUCGCGUCUGCUGUGAAAACUGGAGGCUCAACCUCCAGCCUGCAGUGGGUACGGGCAGACUAGAGUGCGGUAGGGGAGAUUGGAAUUCCUGGUGUAGCGGUGGAAUGCGCAGAUAUCAGGAGGAACACCGAUGGCGAAGGCAGAUCUCUGGGCCGUAACUGACGCUGAGGAGCGAAAGCGUGGGGAGCGAACAGGAUUAGAUACCCUAGUAGUCC
rnacentral:rRNA from 1 species